rnacentral:rRNA from 1 species
AUUGAACGCUGGCGGCAGGCCUAACACAUGCAAGUCGAACGAGUGGCGGACGGGUGAGUAAUGUCUGGGAAACUGCCUGAUGGAGGGGGAUAACUACAGGAAACGGUAGCUAAUACCGCAUACCAUCAGAUGUGCCCAGAUGUGAUUAGCUUGUUGGUGGGGUAACGGCUCACCAAGGCGACGAUCCCUAGCUGGUCUGAGAGGAUGACCAGCCACACUGGAACUGAGACACGGUCCAGACUCCUACGGGAGGCAGCAGUGGGGAAGAUUGUACAAUGGGCGCAAGCCGUAUGCAGCCAUGCCGCGUGUAUGAAGGAGGCCGUCGGGUUGUAAAGUACUUUCAGCGGGGAGGCGUUACCCGCAGAAGAAGCACCGGCUAACUCCGUGCCAGCCGCCUCGGUAAUUC